rnacentral:rRNA from 1 species
AUGCAAUCUGCCCUCAACAGGAGUAUAGCUCGGGGAAACUCGGAUUAACCCUCCAUAACAUUAUCGAAUGGCAUCAUUUGAUAAUUAAAACGCAAGUGGUUGAGGAUGAGCAUGCGCAUGAUUAGUUAGUUGGUAGGGUAACGGCCUACCAAGACGAUGAUCAUUAGGGGAACUGAGAGGUUGAUCCCCCACACUGGCACUGAGAUACGGGCCAG